rnacentral:piRNA from 1 species
UAGGUGAUCCCUGCUGGCUCAGGUGUUU